rnacentral:rRNA from 1 species
AAUGAACGCUGGCGGCGUGCCUAACACAUGCAAGUCGUGCGCGAAAGGGGCUUCGGCCCCGAGUAGAGCGGCAGACGGGUGAGUAACACGUGGGUAACCUGCCCAGAAGUGGGGGAUAACCUGGGGAAACUCGGGCUAAUACCGCAUACGUUCGCGGGGUUCUGCUCCGCGAGGAAAGCCGGCCUAUGCUUGCAAGCUGGCGCUUUUGGAGGGGCCCGCGGCUGAUUAGCUUGUUGGUGGGGUAAUGGCCUACCAAGGCGACGAUCAGUAGCCGGCCUGAGAGGGUGAACGGCCACACUGGAACUGAGACACGGUCCAGACUCCUACGGGAGGCAGCAGUGGGGAAUAUUGGACAAUGGGCGCAAGCCUGAUCCAGCAACGCCGCGUGGAGGAAGAAGGCCUUCGGGUUGUAAACUCCUGUCCCGAGGGACGAAGUAGGUGACGGUACCGUUGGGAGGAAGCCCCGGCUAACUCCGUG